CCCACUCACCCCACUUGCCCCCUCUCCCCCACACCCUCUCGCUCCAUCCCCUCCCCCUCGCCAGAUCCCUCCUUGCCGAGCACCGCCACGGGCUCGCUCCGGUGAAGCCCGCGGCCACCGUCCACCCCUUGCCUCGCCGACGAGUCCAGGAGCACCGUAGCGUCGUCCUCAUCGUCUACGUCGAGCCACACGGCGCCGGACGGCCCCGUGACGCCACCCCAACCUCAACUUCCUCCUCGGGCUCCAGCGGCCACCGCGUCGAUCCGCGCCACCUCGAGCUCCUCCGGCGUCCCCAGGCCUCCUCGUCGAUGCUAUUCCAAUCCACAGGGAGAGGUGGCAUCAGUUAAUUGGAAGCUGGAGGGGGCCACAGCUAAAGUCAGGGAGGAGAAAGUUUAUUAGGCAAGGACACGUAAUCCCGUAAUGCCCUCCGUGACAAGUUCGUCCGUAAGUCUAGAAUUAUUGGGCUCUCAGGAUGGCCAACAAAUAAAAAUGACCAGCUGCCUGCUAAGGACUCGGGUAGCCAAUCAAGUCAUGCACAAGACUACAAGAGAAACACUUUUGAAUACCUCUAUAUAAACUUUGCUUCUGAGGAUUGCUCUACAAAACAAUUACUUUCAGAUGUAAUAGUUCCAUUUGAGAUGUAGUAAUUCACCUUACUAUUCCUUUUGAUGUUAGAUGUGGAACUGUUCUGCCGUUAAGAAAGAUAUUGAUUAGUUGCUGGUAAGUUUUUCACGGUUUAGCUUUCCGGUUAAAUGUGGUCUUGGGCACUAAAUUUGAAAGGAUUUUUCGCCAAUUUGUGAUUUCACCUACACUUGUGUGAUUAAAAAGCAGGGAAGAUGUAUAGAUGAAGCUGGAUAGCUCGUAUACUUCCAAUUUCAGUACGUGCAUAUGUCAAUACAUGGAUAAGUGAGAGCUGGUUAGCUAGUACAGAGUAGAUAGAAGCAAGCAACUAGAAUCACCUUUGCCUGUUGAGAUGCAUCGAGCUCACGCCUUCUUUAAGUGUGACCCAACGACCCCCCGCUGCAUCUCGCCACCAGCCACGGCCGCGGCCGCCGACUGGGUGCACGCGCUGUGGUUCCACCU